GUUUUUAUUUGUUAUUUGUUUGCUGCCCUACAAGAAAAGAAAGUAAAGAAACUAAUUAAUUUUUUUUUGAUCAACGGAAACUAAUUAGUUAAAUAUUUAAAAGAACUAAUACGCAAAAAAAAAACGAUCUUAUCUCAAAUUUCAAAAAUUUAUCUAAAGCUACCCAUUUGUGAAUGUUCCACAUUUUAGGUUUCGAGUUCGACUAAGUAUCGUGUAUCUACAAUUCAAGCGCAUGUUUACAUAACAGAGCAGCCAUUAGGGUUCUCAUCGCUGAACAUUCCAGGAGGCGUGUUCAUAUUCUGAUGCGAGUACGGCACAUAACUUUCACUCGAGUAAUUGUAUCCUGAACCUGGAUAACUCUGACCUCCCAUCGGAUAAGUCUGACCUUCAAUCGAAUACCUCUGUCCGUACACGUGUCCUUCUUGCCAAUACAUUGGAGCCGUCGGAUAUGAGUAUCCAUAAUAAUCCAUUUUAUUCACCUUUGCCACCGGCGCAACUCCUCCUCCUACGCCGCCACCUUCCUUCUUCUCACCGUCUCCGGCCUCUUUCUUCUUGUCUCCACCGUCACCAGCCUCUUUCUUUUUCUCUCCGACUUCUUUCUUAUUAUCGCCACCCUCUUGCUUCUUCUCUACGACUUCACUUCCUUCCUUCUUUGCUUCGUUAGCUCCAGCGGCUGGGACUUCUUUCUUGGCGGCGGGAGGGGCGGCACCGUCGUCUUUUUUAGCCGGAAGAAGAGGCUCAACCGUUCUUUUUAGCUUUUUAGCUAGUAGAGGCACAAGUUCUUUAACAUCCAUAGUGCCUUUCACGGUCACCAUGUCUUUGGCUGCAUCAAUAGCCACCGUUUGGACGCCUGUUCAAAUUAAUAUUAUUAAUUUAUGAGCAUAAUUAAAUUGCUUUUGGCUUUAACUUAGCUAAGAAUAAAAGUAAAUAAACUUCCAUUUGUUUAGUAAUAAUUACCUUUAAUUUUCAAUAUUAUUUUCUUGAUUUUCUGAAUACAUCCUUCGCAAUGAAGUCUGAUCUUCAAAGCAACCGAGCUCUGAACAUAAACAAUUUAAAGCUCGAUCAGUUACAUAGACAAAGUGUUAGAGUGGUUUUACGUUUUAGCUAUUGUAAAACACUUUUUAAGUUUUUUUUCUUGAAAACGAAAACACUUUUUAAGUUGCUUGCAUAGUCUGUCUAUUGUCCUUAUUCAAUUAAAUCUAUAUACCUCUUUAGGAGCGGCCGGGGGUGGAGGAGCAGGAGCAGCCGCCUUAUCUACACCAUCGGCUUUCUUCUCUCCACUGGUGGCGGUAGAUGCGUCUACUUUCGGCGGUGAUGGUGGCGGUGGGUUGGCCAGUACCACCUUUCUCUUCAUUCUUUCCUCCAACUUCUCCUGGAGUUUCAUCGGAUCGAUCUUCCCGACCACCAUGAGCUUGUUCCCACCCAUAUCCAUCGUCACAUCUUUCACUCCGGCGAAGUGCUUCACCAUUCGCUUGAUCUUCUUUGCGCAACCUUCGCAGUGCAUAUCCACUUUGUAGACAAAGGCAGAUGCAGCAGCCACGAGUCACAAAAAUAGCACUUAAUGUUUUAUCAAAAGUCACAAACUUAGGGUUUAGAGUUAAAGGGUGGGGUUUAGGAUUUAGGGUUUAGGGUUUAGAGUUUAGGGUUUAGGGUUUAGGGUUUAGGGUUUAGGGUUUAAAGUUUAGGGUUUAGGGUUUAGAGUUUAGGGUUUAGAGUUUAAGGUUUAGGGUUUAGAGUUGAGAAAUGAGUUUUUGGGAUAAGAUUUCAAAUUUUGAAAAAUAAAAAGAUUAAAAUUUUCAAAGGAUAAACUUAGAAAUGUGCUAUUUUGGUCAUUUUAGUUUUUGAGUGCUAUUUUUGUGAUAUAAACUUAGAAAUGUGCUAUUUUGGAGAUUUGCCCUUAUAUCAAUCAACCAAAAGUUUUCCUAAUGAUCUUAUUUUUCAUUCAGAAAAAAAACAUCCACAGAAUCCGUCUUGAAACGUCAAGAACAAUGAUCGAGAUAUAACAAAAAUAAUCCUUAUCGAACAAAAUUUUACUAUUAUAUUCCACAUCAUUUACGUUUUUAUUUGUUAUUUGUUUGCUGCACUACAAGAAAAGAAAGUAAAGAAACUAAUUAGUUAAAUAUUUAAAAGAACUAAUACGCAAAAAAAAAACAAUGUUAUCUCAAUUUCAAAAAUUUAUCUAAAGCUACCCAUUUGUGAAUGUUCCACAUUUUAGGUUUCGAGUUCGACCCUUAAAAGUAUCGUGUAUCUACAAUUCAAGCGCAUGUUUACAUAACAGAGCAGCCAUUAGGGUUCUCGUCGCUGAACAUUCCAGGAGGCGUGUUCAUGU
rnacentral:lncRNA from 1 species